rnacentral:lncRNA from 1 species
UGAUCAUUGUUUUUUAAAAAUGUUACCAUAGUUACUUUUGAUCCACGUCUCAUCCUGUCACUGCUGAUAGCUAUGCUGCUUCAUAAAGUAAUGACAUAUUUCUGAGAUCUUUUCAGUUUUCCUGUUCUCACCAUGAAGUGUUGCAGUAAUAACACAUAUAAAAAUGAUACAUAUUUAGUCCUGCAAUCUUGAAGUAUUGGGCUCUUUGAAGGGUAGAGUCCAUUAUUGCCUGAAGGUUUUUUAUUUUUACACUAUACACCUGAAAAAAGGUCAAGCACUGCUUGUCUAUUUCCCAUCUAAAAUGUGGUCAAAUUGUAAUCAUGCAUUAAUUUUCUGGUGAGGAACUUUGUUUUCUGUUUACAAAGUGACUUCAUUUUGAUUGUAUAGUGAAAAGAUUUCAUGGUAACAUUUAUUGAACUAAUCUUUCUUUCUUCCAUAUGUUCUCUAUGUGAUAUGACUCAGUACUUGUGAUCAUGUGGAUGUGGAUACAAUGUUCUUGUAAUGUUUCAGGUAUUGCUGAUGUUAUAGACUUUUAAAUAUAAGAUCCUUUUCGAUGUAGCAGUUUCAAGAAGAUAAGGGAAAGUUAAGGGUUAAAGGGAUUGUGCUUAAUUUUCCCAGAGUAGAAGCAUUAUCACCUGAUGGGUUGUUCCUGCCUUGGCAAGUAAAUGAAUCAUUAUGGCCAACUGUGCAGUCCUCGGUGGGUGAAGCAUCCAUGUUGUUUGGAUGUGAAACCCCCAAUCUUUUACUCUGAUCUGAGGACACCUCCUUAGGUCAGGUGAUCCAUGAACGACAAACCUAGUGGAUAGAUGCAUAGAUUCUGGAGCCAAACUGUCGGCUUUCUGUAAUGAUUUUACAUCAUUUCUUUACCAUCUCUCUGUGGAUAUUUUGUUGACAAGUGACACAGAUCACUUCUAUGCUCUCAUUUCUUGGAGAUCCAGAACAAAUGUGUAAAUCAGCAAAACUGUUUUUAAUAUAUCUAACAAUAUUUAUUCAUUUAUGAAAUCUGUAACUUAAAGCUUAGUUGCAGUGGGGUUUCAAACACAUGGAAAUCAUGAAAUAUCAAUGAACAGUCUCUACUUGUCAACACAGAAUUGUUCUUGUGUAUUCAGUUAGACAUUACUGACGGAUCUGACCAGACGUAGUGCAUGUUGAUAUGUGAGGUGGGGAAGGUGGGGUAGCCUAGUGGUUAAAGCGUUCGCUCGUCAAGCCGAAGACCGGGUUCGAUUCCCCACAUGGGUACAAUGUGUGAAGCCCAUUUCUGGUGUCCCCCUGCUGGAAUAUUGCUAAAAGUGGCGUAAAACUAUACUCACUCACUAAUAUGUGAGGUCAAAUAUUGGGUCCGAAAGCAUGUGUAGGUGUAUUUGCGGAUGUGAUGCUUGUUACAUGAUAUGUUGUCUCUCCCAUGAGACAGCUAGUCGUGGGUUACAUUACUGUUCUAUCUGUGAUCUUGUGUUACAUGUAUUGUGUAAGUAUAUUGUUAUUUAAGUUUCUUGGUCAUGAUGUCUUGAUCAUGUUGAUGAACUUCUUUGAGGGACUUUUUAGAAGAUAAGGGUGUAAGGGUAGGUUCCUUUCUCACAAAGAAUUUAUGAAAUUCUACUCACUAUGUCUACGUACUGGAAUAUAUCUCUGUCAUGAUAAAUACACUAACUUGUCUGGUAGCAUAGCUUCACCUUAAGCUACAUUUGAAUAUGAUUCUUAAUAUUGCCUCUCAAUGAAAUUACAUUUAUGAGGUAAGGUAAUUCUGUACUAAGAGAGACAAAUUAGUCCCAAGUAUUAUUAUGGAGUGUGUAAUCGCAGUCUAGGAACAUGAAGUGUAUCAAACAGAGUACUUCAGGAAAUCCUGUACAGGAUCUGUGUAGAAUCCAUCUAACAGUUCACUUCUCUUCAGUGAUUUAUAUGUCAUGACCAAGAAAUGUAUAAUAUUGCCUUAUUUAUAUGGUAUUGAAUUCAUUUUGUUGUACAAAUAUCUCCAUAUAUGACCCAGGCAUUGGUGCAUUGCCCUGGACAUGUGUUUGCUCAUUGUUAUUUAUUUUCUGUAUAUAUAAUAGGAUCUCAUUUGCAUAUCAUGUAAAAAAUGUACAUAAUACGAUUGACAGCAUGAGUUGUGCAAUGUAUUUCAGUUGUUUGGCAGAGACAUAAAACAGUGUUCCUGAUUUUUCUUGAGGACUGCACAAUAUUUGGAGAUUUCUUCCCGAUGAACGAGUUAAUAGUGCUUAUGGAGAAAAUGUCUGUUUAUGUCAGACCUGAUCAAGAAAAAUGUUUCAAAUUCAGGAUGGACACUGUGGUGUUGUUUUUGGUAGGGAAAUCUCAUGAUACCCCAAUAUUUGAUGGCUAAUUUUGUGUAAAUGUCAUUCACAUUCUUUAACAAAACAGGCUUUUCUUUGUUUAAAAUGCACAGUAAGUUGGAACAGUUGCAGAACAGAGCUGAAGAGACAUGGCUUUGACAUAGCUGCAAAUAUUCUGUCAACAAAUUCAACAAAUAAAAUAAGUGUUUAAAAA